rnacentral:lncRNA from 1 species
GCUAUUAAAAAUGGUGGUACAAAAAUGUGCAAUGUCUCUUAAAAAAAAAUAUAUAUAUAAAACUCUCCUCAAAAAUAGCAAUUCCUCCCCAAAAAAUGAACUACUGCGUAAAAUCCCAAAAUCAACAUUCAAUUUCCAACAGUCAAUACUCCACAUGUAGCCUCUGUUGUCGACUCCGCCCAUGGCGUCAGUUCCUCCACUUUUGGUGAGGCCCUUUCUCCUUAGCUUUCCAUUGAAUCUCUUUCUCUCCUCACGUUCGUCCUCUGGAAGAAGAAGGCAGCGUAACGUUGGGUUUUCACCAACAAAGAAUUCAGCAGGAGAAGUUCCACCCCCAUUAGUUUUCAAUGAGGGCCCGCAGAGAAAUGUGUUGGGGAUUGUGGCGAGGAACCCUUCUAGCGGAGCAGUAGAAAAAGUUGAGCUCUGCUCUAUUUUAUGCAAAUUUCAAGCGAAGCGAAGAGGAGGCGUAGCCUCUGGUGUAAACCCACUUGUGUUAGCAUCCAAGGGAGAAAACGUGUUACUUCCGCUUGUCAUCCUCCCUCGUCCGCUGUCAGGCGUGAGGAGACAGUGAUGCAAUGCGUCCCGCUCCCUGUCCCAGAAGCCCUGUCACCUGAAGGAAGUGGCAUUAACCACCCUGGACAGCCAGCCACCACUGGGCUGCUGUUGUGGAAUCGUGAUGAAACCAUAUGGAGACUGGGCGGUGUAAAUGACUUCUUAGGAGUGCAGCGAGAUGUGAAGGACGGACUGACAGGAGACGGGAGCGCGGCAAGCACACUAAUGAGCUACAUGCUUCACACCGAGACACGGGGGAGAGAGAGAACGAGAGGGAGAGAGAGAGAGAGGGGGAGGGAGGGAAAUUGGUAGUGAGAGGAGGACAGAAGAAAGAGAGUGAGAGAAAGGGAGAGAGAAGAGAGGGGGAUGAGGGAAGGAAUGAGGACGAG